GUGAGUCAUCGAAUCUUUGAACGCACAUUGCGCCCGCCAGUAUCCUGGCGGGCAUGCCUGUUCGAGCGUCAUUUCAACCCUCAGUCUCUGCCUGGCGUUGGGGUCCUGCGAUGCAGCCCCCUAAAGACAGCGGCGAGCACGCCCCGAAGCUGAACGUAGUAAUACAUCUCGUUCUGGUGCAGGGCGUCCUCGGCCGGAAAACACUUCUAUGGUUGACCUCGGAUCAGGUAGGAAUACCCGCUGAACUUAAGCAUAUCAAUAAGCGGAGGA
rnacentral:misc_RNA from 1 species